AGGAUGCCUCUCACUGCAAUGUGGAAAACAGAAAAGAGAUGUGGAAGAGUGGCAGUCAUGUAGCUAAGAGGUUUUCACGGUAAUCCAGGCCUUGAGACCAGAGGAUACAAUCAAUGGAGUGUGGCAAGAAAGGAGAACCAAGGGCUAAAUCUUGUGGAAUUUUAAAUGUGAGUACUCAGGAAAAAGAAGCAGACACAGGAAAUGAAUCGACAAAGUGGUGAAGAGUAAGAAGAGAGAAACCUGUGGAACACUGUGGCUUAAAUGAAGAAACAAUUUUAAAGAAAGAUGAUCAAUUCGACUGAAUAAUGCAGAUAGGUCACACCAUAGGACUGAUAGGAAAAUGACCAUUAGUUGCGUCCAGUUUCUGAGAAAUAGUGGGGAUGAAAGCCUGAUUGGAAUGGGUUUAAGGGAGAAUGAGAGGAGAGGAAAUGUGAAAGUGGGUAUGUGCAAAUCUUGCUGAGAGUUUUGCUCUAAAGGGUAAGAAAAAUGGAGAUGUAGCAGGGAAGAAAAGUGGGAGUAACAGAUUUUGGUAUUUUUUAACAAAAUUUUUAAGAUGAGAAAAAACAGAAGUACAUUUGUACAUUGAUGGGGAGGAUCCAGUAGAGACAGAAGGCUUUUUCUAAAAUUGAAGACAGAAUUGAAUUUUGAAUUGAAGACAAGAGUUUUUUGGUGGUCCAGUGAUUAUUGAACCAGAGAGGAUGUAUUUUGACAAUAGUAAGGAAGAUUAAAGAUAAAUAUUAUAAACAGCUUCCUGAUCAUACAGCAGUGAGACCAGAAGAUAUUAUCACAGGAAGUUAUUAAAAGUUAUCAUCCGAGUUUUAAAAGUCUUAACAUAAAUAAUAAUGUAACAGAUGGUCAUGGAGUGUUUCCAGCCCUAGAGCUAGUGGGCAUACAAGGGUGAGUGAAACCCAGUCUUAGUUUUCCGGAGUUCAUUAUAGGAGAGUUCACCAUAGGAGUAUGGACCCUAAAGGCAGGCUGGCUGGGUUGAAUCCUGGCUUUCUUAUUUGUUAGCUGUGUGGUCUUGGGUAGGUUACUUCAAUUUUCUCUGCCCCAGUUUGCAUAUUUGUAAAAUAAGGUAAUAGUAUGAUCCUCAUAGAUCAGUUAUGAAUAUUAAAUGAGCUAGCAUAGUUAAAGAAAUAACUUAUACAUAGCACAUAGUAUCUACAGCUACUUACUAGCUAUUCUGAGUCCAAUGUUAUAAGUGCUCAUUUAAUGGAAGAAGAUUAAAGUACAGUAUCAUGGCAGCAUACAGGAGACAGUUAUUCAUUUUGAUUUAGGGCUUAUAAGGAGUCCCAGAGUGCUUUACACAGAAGGUACAUUUAAAUGGACCCUGCAGAAUGAGUCAGACUUCACCAAGUAGCAUAAAGCUCAGCCGAGCCUAGAUAAGCAAAGGCUCAGAGUUUGAGCUUGCAGGGUGUGCUUGAGAGCAGGGAGAUCAGUAGUGUGAAGGUCAGGCUGGAAAGUUGUCACUGGAGAUAGGAUAGCAGGGCCUUGAAUGCCUUCUGUGGAAUUGCAGUCAUCUCUGACAGUAUUCAAAUAGGGAGUCCAGGGAGUAAAACAAGAGUAAACAGGGGUGGCCCCAGGCAGCACAAACUCAGCCUGCUUUCCUCUAACUUGCCAUCUUUCCCCCAGUUGAGUGGCAUCAGCAGCCACUCCCACUGCAUUUUUUUGCUGUUUUUUGGUUGGCCCUUUCUAUCCUCCUCAGUUUCCCACCACUUUUCAUAUUCCCUCUUGCCUUUAUAUACUUUCACAUUCUGUGCCCUGUGCUUGGCCACUUCUUAAUCUUCAAAGGCUCAGCUUGGACUAAGCUCUGGAGUUCUUCCUGACUUCUCUGGAUAGGAAGAAAAGAUUCUUCCUCCAGGCUCCCUGGGUGCUCUGGGCUUCUCCUGGCAGAGCAUUUAUCUCAUUUUAUUUUUUUAGUUUCAGCCUAAAAACCAAAAUAAAAGGAAAAAAUGACAAACCAAAAA